AUUGAACGCUGGCGGUAUGCUUAACACACGCAAGUCGGACGGUAGCCGCUUCGGUGGCGAGAGUGGCGGACGGGUGAGUAACGCGUAGGAAUCUGCCUGUUAGUGGGGGACAACUUAGGGAAACUUAAGCUAAUACCGCAUACGCUCCUUGUUGAAAGACGGGGAGGAAAGCGGGGGACCGCAGGGCCUCGCGCUAACAGAUGAGCCUGCGUGGGAUUAGCUGGUUGGCGGGGUAAGGGCCCACCAAGGCGACGAUCCCUAGCUGGUCUGAGAGGACGACCAGCCACACUGGGACUGAGACACGGCCCAGACUCCUACGGGAGGCAGCAGUGGGGAAUAUUGCGCAAUGCGCGAAAGCGUGACGCAGCAAUGCCGCGUGGGGGAAGAAGGCCUUCGGGUUGUAAACCUCUUUCAGGAGGGACGAAGCUUCGGCCGCGAAUAGCGGACCGGAGUGACGGUACCUUCAGAAGAAGCCCCGGCUAACUACGUGCCAGCCGCCGCCGUAAUAC
rnacentral:rRNA from 1 species